ACACACUUGGCGGAGUGGUCUAACGCGCUGGAAUCAAGACCCAGUGUUGAAGGAUGCGUGGGUUCGAACCCCACAGUGUGCA